GGAGCGGUGGCAGAGUCUGGCUGAAUGCAGCCGCCUUGAAAGCGGCCGACCGAGAGGUCCGGGGGUUCGAAUCCCUCCCGCUCCG
rnacentral:tRNA from 1 species